ACUUUAUACUGUGAAACUGCGAAUGGCUCAUUAAAUCAGUUAUAGUUUAUUUGAUGGUACCUUGCUACAUGGAUAACUGUGGUAAAUCUAGAGCUAAUACAUGCUUAAAAGCCCCGACUUCUUGGAAGGGGUGUAUUUAUUAGAUAAAAACCAACCCUUCGGGUCCCUUGGUGAAUCAUAAUAACUUUUCUAAUCGCAUGGCCUUGUGCCGGCGAUGCUUCAUUCAAAUAUCUGCCCUAUCAACUGUCGAUGGUAGGAUAGAGGCCUACCAUGGUUGCAACGGGUAACGGGGAAUAAGGGUUCGAUUCCGGAGAGGGAGCCUGAGAAACGGCUACCACAUCCAAGGAAGGCAGCAGGCGCGCAAAUUACCCAAUCCCGACACGGGGAGGUAGUGACAAUAAAUAACAAUAUAGGGCUUUUAAAGUCUUAUAAUUGGAAUGAGUACAAUUUAAAUCCCUUAACGAGGAACAAUUGGAGGGCAAGUCUGGUGCCAGCAGCCGCGGUAAUUCCAGCUCCAAUAGCGUAUAUUAAAGUUGUUGCAGUUAAAAAGCUCGUAGUUGAACUUCAGGCCUGGCCGGUCGGUCCGCUUAACAGCGUGUACUGCUUGGCCGGGCCUUCUCUCUUGGUGAUCCGGCAUGCUCUUUACUGGGUGUGUCGGGGAACCAGGAUCUUUACUUUGAAAAAAUUAGAGUGUUCAAAGCAGGCCUAUGCCCGAAUAUAUUAGCAUGGAAUAAUAAAAUAGGACGUGCGGUUCUAUUUUGUUGGUUUCUAGGAUCGCCGUAAUGAUUAAUAGGGAUAGUUGGGGGCAUUAGUAUUCACAUGCUAGAGGUGAAAUUCUUGGAUUUUGUGAAGACUAACUACUGCGAAAGCAUUUGCCAAGGAUGUUUUCAUUAAUCAAGAACGAAGGUUAGGGGAUCGAAAACGAUCAGAUACCGUUGUAGUCUUAACAGUAAACUAUGCCGACUAGGGAUUGGACGAUGUUUAUCUUGACUCGUUCAGCACCUUACGAGAAAUCAAAGUCUUU
rnacentral:rRNA from 1 species